UGUAAUUACACAUUUUUGGUGCAAACACAAAAAUGUGUAAGAUUACACACUUUUUGAAAGUUUUUACACACAAUGUGUAAAUUACACGCUUAAAAAAGCCCGUGUUUCGGAAUAAGUCUGAAAUAAAAUAA